AUUGAACGCUGGCGGCAGGCCUAACACAUGCAAGUCGAGCGGAUGAAGGGAGCUUGCUCCUGGAUUCAGCGGCGGACGGGUGAGUAAUGCCUAGGAAUCUGCCUGGUAGUGGGGGAUAACGUCCGGAAACGGGCGCUAAUACCGCAUACGUCCUGAGGGAGAAAGUGGGGGAUCUUCGGACCUCACGCUAUCAGAUGAGCCUAGGUCGGAUUAGCUAGUUGGUGGGGUAAAGGCCUACCAAGGCGACGGUCCGUAACUGGCCUGAGAGGAUGAUCAGUCACACUGGAACUGAGACACGGUCCAGACUCCUACGGGAGGCAGCAGUGGGGAAUAUUGGACAAUGGGCGAAAGCCUGAUCCAGCCAUGCCGCGUGUGUGAAGAAGGUCUUCGGAUUGUAAAGCACUUUAAGUUGGGAGGAAGGGCAGUAAGUUAAUACCUUGCUGUUUUGACGUUACCAACAGAAUAAGCACCGGCUAACUUCGUG
rnacentral:rRNA from 1 species